ACACGCUGGCGGCGUGCCUAAUACAUGCAAGUCGAACGGUCUUUUCUAUGGAAGCUUGCUUCCACUGAGAAGAUAGUGGCGAACGGGUGAGUAACACGUGGGUAACCUGCCCAUAAGAGGGGGAUAACAUCCGGAAACGGGUGCUAAUACCGCAUAGUUUUCUUGAUCGCAUGAUUGAGAAAGGAAAGACGGCCUUUGUGCUGUCGCUUAUGGAUGGACCCGCGGCGUAUUAGUUAGUUGGUGAGGUAAUGGCUCACCAAGACGAUGAUACGUAGCCGACCUGAGAGGGUGAUCGGCCACAUUGGGACUGAGACACGGCCCAAACUCCUACGGGAGGCAGCAGUAGGGAAUCUUCCGCAAUGGACGAAAGUCUGACGGAGCAACGCCGCGUGAGUGAAGAAAGGUUUUCGGAUCGUAAAACUCUGUUGUCAGAGAAGAACAAGUUGGAGAGUAACUGCUCCAGCCUUGACGGUAUCUGACCAGAAAGCCACGGCUAACUACGUGCCAGCCGCUGC
rnacentral:rRNA from 1 species